CUCUGGGGUAGAUACAAGGUAAUCAGGUUAGCUCACGUGGGGUUCACAGUCUUAAUCCCCAUUUUACAGUUGAGGGAACGGAGGCACAGAGAAGUUAAGUGACUUGCCUAAAGUCACACAGCAGACAAGUGGCAGAGCACAAUCUGACCACAGAAGCCCAGAGUGAGUUCGCCCUAGGAGUGGGAAUGGUUUAUUCAGAAGAUCACAGCUGUUUUGUGUUUGUUUUUUUUUAAAAAAAAAGGUAGUGGAACUCAGAAGUAACAGAGAAAGAUACUUUGUCCUGGGAUCAGUGUCAUCAGUCUUAGUUACCAAGACAACCACCUGCUGGGUUAUGACAUUCUGCUGCAGUCACCAUGACCGUCAGCGGGUCCUGCAUGAGGGUGGAAAAAAAAAUACAUCUGUGAGCACUUUGCAAUAUGCUGCACCUCUGGCUGCCUGAUUAGUUGUUGCUCUCUGUCCCCCAGCUACAAAACAAGUGGCAGGGGCGAGAGUGUGUGAGGGGUGCUGUGCAAACCACUCUCACUACAAUCAAUUACUCUGUGUAUGUUUUCAGUUUCCAAGUCUCCUGACCGAAGCCCAUACCUCAUUCCCGAUGGCAGAGUCACGAGACAUCAUCCUUUCCUUCACUGAUAGAAAGUCCUCAAGGAGCUCAAGCCUGAGGGAGAAAAGCACCUAAACCAGGAAGGAGAUGUGAAGUCAUGAGACUGGCUGACUCGUAGAGGAUAAGGGUCUCCUGGCCUGAACCACCACAGAACCAGACCGGGAUUCUCAUCCACAGGACGUGGAACCCCCUCCGCCUCCGCCACCCCCUCAAACUGUGAGGGCCGCUGCCUCUUGACGCUCGAGGAUCCCUGCGUGUUCUCUCCCUCCUCGCCUGAUGCCUCCCUCAGAUCCCUUUUCCAGCUCCCACCACCGCCGGGUCUGGAGCGUUGGGAGCACCGGCUCUCCUCCACCACCUCGAAGAGCUUGUCCACGAACUGCCAGGUGGAGUCGUCAAGGAGAGGCUCCAACUGGGUCUCUGCCCUCUUCUGGUCCAACCCCCUCACCAUGCAAUUCAGUGCUGCUGUGACUACCGUGGACUCCGAGAAUCCCAGCACCUCCCUCACCGUCUGCUCGACCCGUGGCUUCAGGCCAUCCAGCUCUCUCUUGGACAGUGCCAUCCCUCAGGGGAGGGGCAGAGAGAACUCUGCGGCCUUCUACCAGACUAUGAGGUCACAGUUGGUGACAGGGUAGCAGUCACAGCCUCAGGAAUAAAGAGCUUUCGAACCAGAACUAUCUCCCUCAAUACUCUAAUUUGGCAGUCCGUUGUUCUAGAUGGGAUUAAGGAAGGCUUUUUUGCUGUUACCUGAGACUUGUAUUUUAGGGAGUUUCAGAAAGUCCUCACCCACACCACGAUGAGGACCUCUGUCCCGUCUGUAUUUAUAUUAGGUCUGCCCCUUUAUCACGCUCGGUAUUCCAGCCAGGGAGCUCGAGUUCACACCUUAUAGGAAGACUCAAGGGUUCUAAUCCCAGCCCCCCUUCAUUCCUGCCGUGUGAACACCUGGGUAAAUCACUUAACUUCUUUGUACCUCAGUUUCCUCCUCUGCCAACUGGGGACUCGAUACCUCUGUCCUUUCUCCUACGGGAAGCAGCGUGGC
rnacentral:lncRNA from 1 species